rnacentral:lncRNA from 1 species
AAAAUGUGAGGUGUGUUAUGCAAGGUGUCAAUCUUGAAAAAGAAGAGAAUCCAAUGAUAUCUCAUUUUAACAUUAUUAUUCUAAAAAACCAUCAUUGUUAUUCAAUUUUAACUAAAAAUAUGAUUAUUACAAAUAAAAACUCUAAUUAUUUAAUUUGAUAUUUUGAAUAAAGAAAUAAAAUGACCUGAUUAAAAAUAGAAAUUAGAUAUAAAUUUACUCGAAAAAUUAAUUUGGACACA